rnacentral:rRNA from 1 species
CAGCCGCGGUAAUACAGAGGGUGCGAGCGUUAAUCGGAUUUACUGGGCGUAAAGCGUGCGUAGGCGGCUUUUUAAGUCGGAUGUGAAAUCCCUGAGCUUAACUUAGGAAUUGCAUUCGAUACUGGGAAGCUAGAGUAUGGGAGAGGAUGGUAGAAUUCCAGGUGUAGCGGUGAAAUGCGUAGAGAUCUGGAGGAAUACCGAUGGCGAAGGCAGCCAUCUGGCCUAAUACUGACGCUGAGGUACGAAAGCAUGGGGAGCAAACAGGAUUAGAUACCCCCGUAGUCCCUGUCUCUUAUACACA